rnacentral:rRNA from 1 species
ACGAAGGGGGCUAGCGUUGUUCGGAUUUACUGGGCGUAAAGCGCACGUAGGCGGCUUGUUAAGUCAGGGGUGAAAUCCUGGAGCUCAACUCCAGAACUGCCUUUGAUACUGGCAAGCUAGAGUCCGGAAGAGGUGAGUGGAACUCCUAGUGUAGAGGUGGAAUUCGUAGAUAUUAGGAAGAACACCAGUGGCGAAGGCGGCUCACUGGUCCGGUACUGACGCUGAGGUGCGAAAGCGUGGGGAGCAAACAG